rnacentral:rRNA from 1 species
AUUGAACGCUGGCGGCAGGCCUAACACAUGCAAGUCGAACGAGUGGCGGACGGGUGAGUAAUGUCUGGGAAACUGCCUGAUGGAGGGGGAUAACUACUGGAAACGGUAGCUAAUACCGCAUACCAUCAGAUGUGCCCAGAUGGGAUUAGCUAGUUGGUGGGGUAACGGCUCACCAAGGCGACGAUCCCUAGCUGGUCUGAGAGGAUGACCAGACACACUAGAACUAGGACACGGUCCAGACUCCUACGGGAGUCAGCAGUGGGGAAUAUUGCACAAUGGGCGCAGUCCUGAUGCAGCCAUGCCGCGCGUAUGAAGAAGGCCUUCGGGUUGUAAAGUACUUUCAGCGGGGAGGCGUUACCCGCAGAAGAAGCACCGGCUAACUCCGUGCCAGCAGCCGCGGUAAUUC